UUUUGGUUUUUUUUUUUUUUUUUGGUGAGGAGUCCAGAAGCUACUGAAAUGAGGAAGCAGAAACUGCUGUGACGUAAUCCCCGGGUCUGCCCUUGGCUGGACCAGCAGAAGAGCUCCCAGCACCUACAAAAUCUCUUCAAAGUGAUGGACUUUCAAGCCCAGCCCAGAGCCAGAGGGCAGCCUCCCUCCCUUCAAAGGGAGGGCAAGCAGUCAGAGACAGAAAGCAGGAAAGAAGAAGGCAGGAACCCACAGGGAGGGUGUCUCCUCUCCCUCCCCCUGCCCCCAGGCCUGGGCCUCCGCAGGAACGGUGCUGUCAUGUCAUCUCCAGCGCUAAGGCUUCUUUUGCAAUGGACAAAGCGACAAGAGAGAAGAGAAAUGAAACUGGAAAAGAAUCUUAGUGCCUGUGGGACCUUGAUGGGAAGGAUGACGUGCAUCUAUAAGCACAUAUGCGAUCCACAAGAAGUAACCUCAGGUGACCUCAGAGGGGAAGUCACUGACAGCUGGGGGGUGAGGGACCCCAGGAGAGACCUCCUGUUGAAGCUGGAGCUUGAGCUGAGUCUGGAAAGAAGCCAGGGAUUCUACGAGCAGCAAGGAGGUGCAUUUCAGGCAUGAGAGACAGCCAGGACAAAGGCACAGUGAUGGGAAAUGGGAAGGUUUUUGUAAACCUUAAAGAGCUAUAGAAAUGGACAUUGAUAUUUUUUUUACAGCCCAGACUACCCCCCCCCGCCCAAAUUACAUUUGCUCCAAAAGUCCUUUAGGAAGGCAGCUGCUGGGAACUCAGAACGCACAAUUCCACCAGUGGACUCAUCAGAAAAGAAGCAGAACUAGGGAAGGACAAUGUUGGGGGCGGUGGUUGCCUGCACUUUCUCCCUACUCGUCUUACAUUACAGAGUCCAUCUCUCUCUCAAGACCUCUACUGGUCCCCUGAAUCAUCAUUUCUCCCCAGGCUAUCUUAACUGUCAUUGGCAUAGCCCUUUCUUAGGGCUGAUGUGACUGCAUCCACAUGGGGCAAAGAACUCGCCCCAUUCUGCCAGACCCGACGACACAUAUCUUAUGAGACACGCACAAGCCAGCCUUCCUACGGGGAACCCCAGGGAGCCCUGGGACAGGGGAGGGUCUCUUUAACUCUGUCCCACAACCCUUGCAACAUAUGCUAGGGCCCUGCAAGUCCAUUUUCCCCAGGUGCUAGAAUACCUACGGAAGUGAUGAAGAAUGUGGUCUCUACCCUCCCCCCCCCCACUCACCCACGGACAGAGUCACAGAAAGUCCAGAAAAUAAUCACAAGGUAAAUAAAGAAAGAGUAUAAAGGGUUUGUUGAGAAAUUUUCAUAUAACCACACAACAAUGUAUGAAGAACUUUCUUAAACAAUCUGACUGUAUUAUAAGCUUUUGGCUAGGGCAUAAAGGGAACUGUCACUACAUGACACAUCUAGUGAUUGGCUGAAUCAGUCAUGUACUUGGGCCUACAUAGUUAAAGAAUCAAGUCAUGUAGCUGUUUAAAUUUGAAAGAUGGAAACACUGGAAGCCAUGUGGAGGAGAGGAGGGAAUUUCUCUCAUCCAUACCCCACAUAUUUUGGCUGGGUAGCUAAGGAGAUCACGCAUCCAUCUGGAAGCAGAGACAGACAGACAGACAUGGCUCCAGAGGAACAGAUACCCCAAAGAGGAAAUAACCUCAAGGAAUAUGACCCCUGGCAAUUCAGAGUUAAGUUAUGGAAAGGGGCAGACCCCGGGAACCCAGGAUGAAGACUUUAAAGAGGAAAAAUUACUUCCAGGGCCUGUAACACAGGACUUGUGAGUUGCCUUUGCCCCAAGUGUAUCCUACACUCUAAGCUUGAACCCCUUCCUUUCAUGGGUGGGUGCUAUGUGUAUUUGUGGAAGAAUGUAUCCUAGGUUUAAGAGGAGGUGGAUAUUUUGUAUCUAUUUGUUCUUGCUCUGACAUUUAAGUGAAUGCCUUUGCUAAGAGCUAAUUGAGUUCCCUGGCUGAUUGUUAAUGGGCAGUACACUAGUAGGGGCUUGUGAACUGUAGUUUUUAGAAGAGUGGUACCACAAGGUAUAUCACUCUCAACUUACGGACUUAAAAAUUAUGCAGCAAAUAUAUAAUACUUUCUAGAAAUGCAGCAUCCCCUUUAUAAGCAGAAAUAUCUUAAACUGUUAGAAAGCCAUUUACAUGUCCACACCCUUUGACCUAGAUAUUCUAUGGCUAGGCACGUACCCCCAAGAAGUCGAUGAAGAAAAAAAGACCCUAUAUAAAAUAAAAUACUCAGAGUAGAACUCUUUGUGUUAACAAGGUACUGGAAACAAAGUAGAUGACCAUCAACUUAGGCAUGGUUAAACAUGCGUGGGAUGGAAUGAUACCAUAUUGUACUAUAAGAAACAAUAAUUGAUGGAGAUAGAGGAUCAUGAGCAGAACCAGGAGAACAGACAAACAGCUUUGAAAGCUGUAAGAACUAUGGUCAAUACAAUGAACAUUCAUGAUCACCGGAAUUGAUAAUGAAACAUACCAUCUAUCUCCUGACAGAGAUGAUGGAUUCAGGGUUCAGAAUAAGAUGUAUACAGUCAGUGAGGGGAUUUGUUUUGCUUGAUUAUAGAUAUAUUUGUUACAAGGAAUUUGCUUUUAUUUUCCCUUUUUUUUCCAAUAGGGUUGGGGGUGGGAGAAAGAGAAAAUAGAUUUAUGUUAAUUUUAAAAUCUUUUAAAAAUAGAGAGUAGACAUGCUACAGAUGGGAGAUGUGGUCAUUGAGUUGUUAGAUUUGCUUAAUUGUUUUCUUUGUUACAAGGGACUUCUUAUGGAGUAGGGGUUAUCUGGAAAUGUUUAUAAUGUAAAAACAA